rnacentral:other from 1 species
UGACCCCUGCUGUGCUCGUGAUUUGGCAGAACGUCCUUGACCCAACAUUAAGCUAAAUGGGAGCUCUUCCAUGGUCUGGUGUGCGAGUCCCGAGUGGAAUUGCCUGAAGGAUCAUCUGGGCGCCCACCUGAACCCGACGUGGUUCAUGGCCGGCUGCUGACACGGCAUUAUGUGGGGGUUAC